rnacentral:rRNA from 1 species
AGCGCAGGUGGGCUGUCAAGUCUGUCUUAAAAGUGCGGGGCUUAACCCCGUGAUGGGAUAGAAACUGGCAGUCUUGAGUGCAGGAGAGGAAAGCGGAAUUCCUAGUGUAGCGGUGAAAUGCGUAGAUAUUAGGAGGAACACCAGUGGCGAAGGCGGCUUUCUGGACUGUAACUGACACUGAGGCUCGAAAGCCAGGGGAGCGAACGG